CACACUACCGCGUUACUUAUCGUUUGAUUUAAACUGCAUCAUAUGAAUAUCAUAAAAAAUUGUGUACGAAUAGUGGAUUUUAAAAGCAUACGUAAAUUAGCAGAGUGAGAAAAACAAUUAACUGUGAAUUCAACGGGAACUGAUUGAGUGUAAACGUUUAAGAAAAAUGCAAAUCAUGUUUGGGACAAUUUUCUGUAUUUUAUUGAAAGGUUUAGUAUUAACAAAGGCAACUAUCACGCCGAAUGAUUAUACCACUUCAAACAUUCUCCAGGAAGAAAAUGUUUCCAUGCGUCCGGAAUUAAAUUUCACGCAGGGAUAUUACAAUGUCCGAGAAAAGUGACCAUCAUAUACUAAAUUUCAAAUCUGACCGGAGUCAUUCUGAUAGUACUGUGAGAAAUGAGCGAGAAGUCGAUGAAGUUACACUUGGAAAUAUUACUAUCAUUCCAGAAUCUAUCGAAAGCAGUUUGAGCAAGCCAACAUCUCUCAUUGUCAGAGCAUUUGUACAAUUCGACAGUCGAUUUACAGAAAAAGUAAACGACAUUUUUGUGAUAUUGAGAUGGAAUCAACCAGAAUUUGCCGAUGAAAUAAUACAAGUGUACCAAAUGCAGUGUUCUUUCUUCGAGGACUUUAAAGAAAUCUGCGACGAUAAAAAUAUCACAACUACAAAAUUGGAGCACACGGUGCACAAUCUAACAUCUAAGACGACAUAUUAUUUUCGAGUACGUGCGCAUACUGAAAUUGUUGCUGUCCUUACACGGAUUUAAUCAAUGUGUCGACUACACAUGAAAAUUCAAUACCUAUAUUAUUAGUUUCAAUGUAUAAACGUGUCGAAGUAUGGGACUUGGAUUUAAACAGUUAUAUUACUAAUUUCGUAAAUUUGACAAAAUCAGCAUUUAGUUUCAUUUAUUCAUCAAUAUGUGUCACUUAUUUGAUACAAGACCAUAGAAUUUAUUGGAUUGACGAAAAAGAUCUAAAGAUUCUUUGAAGACUAAAGACUAAAGAUCUAAAGACUCAUUGAAGAUUAAUGAAAAUAAUAUCACAAAAAUAGCUUCGAACUAUAUUUAUAUAAUCUCUGCAUUGACUGGGUAGCAAGAAAUCUAUAUUUUACCUAUAAUGAUUUUACCUACUCUUAUAUUAUGAAGUUCGACUUAACAAAGCGGAAAAAUGGCAUAAUUAAAUGUGAUGAGAUUAUCAAAUCGCAAAAUUAUAUUCUCCAUUUAAGUGUAUCACCGUCUAUGGGGUAACAUACAAUAAUAGGACAAUGACAGAAUAUAGUAUGGUGAAAUAUCAUCUCGAUGGAGAAAUCGAGUAACAUGUUAAGAUAAAUACAUCCUUUUGCCUAUUUCAUUCUAUAGAUUAUUUUCAUGAUAUAAUAAUUGAUGACAUGAAUAAUGAGGAGACGUUAAUUUACUGGUUAAGUGCGAAUUACAUAAUUGUAACAGACAUUAACAUUUCUAUGUGCAAUACGAUUUUAUACAAGAAAAACAUAAGUGUUAAUAAUACCUUUGACUUCCAUUUUAUGACGAUUGACAAAACAAACAUUUACAUUUUAGCAACUAUUAGGAAUGAUUUUAAUUCUGAAAACGCUAUAUACGCUUUGAAAAAGAAAUAUGCAAUUCUCAAGAGCGUAAAUGCAGCCAAAUAUGUUGAAAAGAUAAUAAGAAUAGAUAAUAAUGUUAUAUUUAAUUAAAAAAAUUACGCUUCUGAUAAAUCUUUACAAACAUAUCAUCCACUGAGAUGUCUGACACCUUACGAAAAAGUUUACAAUUUUGAGAAUAUGAAUGCAACGGCAAACAGCAUCAAUGUAACUUUACCGGAGCCGGUUGUAAAGAGUGGAUGUAAAAAAUAUAAUUUACCAAUUACUAUAUAUACUAUCUCUGUAAGCCAUUGUUUAAACAACAACCUCGACAAGUCUGAAAAAUUCAAUGUGCUGCGAUAUGUGACGUGCGAGCGACAUUACGAGAUUCAAAACUUAACACCAUUUACAGAGUACGAAUUGAAGUUUAUUUUAAGCAAUUUUUACUUUGAUCAAUUAUCAAUAAAUCCAAUCAAUUCGAAUGUGAUAUCAUUAAAAACUAAUUCGGGCAGCUUAAUGCACCAGAAAACAUAAGUGUUUUAGCUUUGACGCCUCUUAUAGCAGUAGUUCAUUGGAUGCCAGCAAUUGAACUGCGUGAGCGUGAACUACGAAGUGCAUUGGAAGUUAGUCAAUGACACGCAACAAAAGAGCAAACAAUUUAUCAAUAUGCCGAAACGUAUGACAGAUGGCAGAUUUUUCAUAAAGAUUAACUUGUCGCUACUAGUACAAAAUUACUUGAUUACGUGCGUGUGUAUCCAAUUAAUUUCAGCGAUUUGUACAACGAGAGUUUAAGCAAGAUCGUUCACAUAUCCUCAGAACCAAACAAUAUUACUUUGAGCGAAGUCAACAUAAAUAGCAGGAACAUUUCAUGGAUUCUCUAACAUUAAUUCGAAGAUCUUUUGUAUACUGGAAUACAAAGAGAUUGCAGCAGAAAAAUGGCAAACAAUAAAUUAUUUUAAAAUAAAUUAUAACAAUGAAGUAAUGUACCGUGUCUCGAAAAUUUACAAUCGGGAACUUUAUACAAGUUUUGCUUGAUAUUGAGAUAUCUCGAAUAUGAGGAAACUUUUAUAUGGCCGGCUGAUGAAAGAUUUAUUUUUUCAAUACAUGGUAGCAAACGUGGUAAGCAAAUAUCCAUACAGCACAAUAAGGUUACGGAUAUUGAAGAAUAAUUUCAUUGAAACAUUGCAAUAUUGCAAAUCGA
rnacentral:misc_RNA from 1 species